rnacentral:lncRNA from 1 species
AUGAUCCAAGUAGGCAACUCCGGAAAUAUACAGUCCAGCCCAGGCAUCCGCCAGGUUGGGGACAAGGAAAGACCCACAAACAAAGAAAUCCCCAGACCCAGCAGCCACACUUCCCCAGGGACCCUGGCCAGGACAGAAGCCAAAGAGGGUGCAGGAGUUGGAUCAUCUGACCGCCUCGUUUCCAGUUAUGCCACCAGGUGGCUGUGGGAAAGGGAGGUUCCACAGUGGCCUCAAAGGACAUUCCAACUCUUCUGUGGCACUCCGGGGCCACAUCCUCAGAGUGGCAGCAGGACCAGUACAUCACACCAGAUUUUGGCAAGAUUCAGUCUGAUACUGGGCCCUAUAGCACUCCUGACUAGAAUUUUUUGUUUGUUUGCCUUGCUAUGUAGUUCAGGUUGGCCUAUAACUCACUACAUAGCCCAGACUGGCCUUUAACUUGCAGUGAUCCUCCUGCCUCAGCCUCAUGACUGCUGGGAUUACAGUCCCAAGACACCUGGCUCCUGACUGAAAUUCGUAUAACUGCUCAGUCACAAUGCAUUUGAGGACCUCAUAAACUAUGGUAAUUAAUUAGAAGAAAACUAGCUAACAUUUUUCAAGUACUUACUGUUUGCCAGACCUGGGCAAAAUACUGCACAUUCAUCAUUCUCACUGAGUCCUGUCAGGAACUCAUCUUCACCUUCUGUAACUUACAGGUGAGGAACCUGAGCACAGAUUGCUCCCAGAGCUGGCCCUGAGUGCCAUUAGUAAAUGGCAAAGCAGGGACUUGAACUCACGUCUGUUGACUCCACAGUCCUUUCCUCUUCCUGUGCCAUGGCUUGAAGGUGUGGCCCACUGCUAAGGAGCCCUCAUAAAAGCAACACUGUCAGGGCCAAGGAUUUAGCUCAGUGGUUCCACCACCAGCCUCAAAAAUGCAAGGUCCUGAGUUCGAUCCCUGGUACCAAAAAUAAGUGGAUUCAUGGACCUGGAAUGUAGCUCAGUGGUUCCAUUGCCUGCCUCGCAAGGGAAAAGUCCUGAGUUUGAUCCCCGGUACCAAAAAAAAAACCCUGUUGGUCUCCCCAACUUGAAUGGACACCACUCAUACCCCAGUGGUAAUAGCAGGCUGGGAGGCUAGGGUCCAUCCUGCACUGGCCUGGGCGUCCACUCUGCCUACUCUGGUAGAAUUACAGCACACAGGAAAGGGGUCAGAUGAUCCCUAGCUCCUGCUCCUCCCAGCCACCUUCAGUUCAAGCCUAGGUAGGACAGCAGCAGGGAGGCUGGCUGCAGGGACCCUGGGAAGCCACCCAUCAGCUGUACUCCUGGAUCUCUGUUCCCUGGUGAGAGCACCCUGAUUGGCAGCCCAAAGGCCUGGCUGACCCUUGCUGACCCCAGCCCGGCAGGCUCUGGUGGCGGCCUUCCAGGAGCGCAGAAGUCCUGUUUGCUUCCCAUUUCCUUCAUGGGAUAGGGGCUGGGUGGGCCUGCAGCACAACCGCCAAGGAGGCGAGACUGACUUGAGACCCUGAUCCUGGAUCUCAUCAGGCUUCUUGGGUCCUUGUCAGUCUGUCUGGCCAGCACUUGUGGUAUUCUGCCACAUCUGCCUUUUGCCUCCUAGGGAAGAAUUAGUACCUUCUCUUAGGCCCUGCAGAAGUUGUCCAGCUCUUCCUAUAUUGUGAACAGUUCGCAGGAGCAGGCAUAUUGGCCAGCCUUUUUGGUUUAGACAAAAUUUGUUAAUUACACGGAAAUUGGAAGGUGUGCCUAGAAGGAUCCUACCAUUAAAGUUGAUAACAUUGGUAACACAUAGCACAGUACUGGCAUGUGUGCAUGUAUACACACACACACACACACACACACACGUACAUCAGCCAUGAGCCUGACACUGUGGUGAAUACUUUAUAUGCACUUUUUUUUGAGGUCUUGUUGUGUUUCCCACACUGGAAUCUAACUUGUAAUUCUCCUGCCUCAGCCUCCUGGGUAGCUGGGAUUACACCUGUAAUCCAGCAUGCCCAGCUAGGUUUGCUCCCCCCACCCAGUACUUGGGAUUGAACUCAGGGCCUUCACACCGAACUACAUCCCCAGCCCUAUCUAUUAUCUGUCUGUCUGUCUGUCUGUCUAUCUAAUUUAUUUAUUGACUGAAACAGCAUCUUUCUGUGUCAUUAAAUUGCCCAGGCUGGGUUUGAAUUUAUAAUCUUUUUUUUUUUUUUUUUGAGACAAGGUCUCACUAUGUAGUGAACAUAGCUGGCCUUGAACUCAUGGCGAUCCUCCUGCCUCAGCCACCUAAGUGCUGGGAGUACAAGGGUGUGGCACCAUGCCCAUUUUGGCUUGAAGGUAUGAUCAUUCUGCAUCAGUUUCCCACAGUGCUGGGAUUACAGACAUGCACCAUCAUGGCCCAGUUUGUGAGGCUUUCUUGUGCUCACUCUUCUCUUGGCCAGUUGGCCUUAGCACAUGCUCCAAAGUACACAUCCCCCCACAUAAAGUUGGAAGCUUUUCCUGAGAUUCUGAAACUGCUCCAAGAGUGCUGAUAGAUAAGCCAUGUCCUACAACCCAGAUCAGGCUUUGCUUUAAAUCUCUAAUUGGCUGUUAGUACGUCCUGUACCAAACUCAUCUGAUCAAUCUCAAGUAGAUGCUUUUACGCUCUUGAACCAGCUUGAAGUCCAUCUCAUUAUGGCAAUUCUUUUUUGGGGGGUACUGGAGAUCAAACUCGGGUCCUUGCGCUUGCACAGCAAGUGGCAAAACCACUGAGCUAAAUCCCCAGCCCUCACUAUGGCAAUUCUUGAUAGGUCCCUCCUACCAAAAAUCCCUUUGUCCCUUUCAAGUUUGUCAGUUGAACUACUAAUUUAUAUCCUCCCUUUGUCCUUUGCUUUGAGGCCUUACCUGAUCCCCUCACUCACUGUGACCCUGGGGUUUCAGGAAAAAAUCCAUUCAAACUCUCCUUCCUUCUUCCUACCAGGAUGACCUUGAUACAAAAAUUUAACUCUAGCACCUCCAUCUGCCCACUCUGUUAUCUCCCAACAUUUCUCUGGUCCUGUCCCUCCUGCCCCUCCUCUGACUGUUUCUCGUGUCUCCCUCCUCCCUCCCGAGUCAGUGCUACAGAACCACCCAACAUGUGUAAGUGUGACUGUCUGGAAAAUGUAACUUUCAAGGAGCCUGAAGUUGAGUGACAGUAAACAGAACCUUGGAGACCCCAGACAUCAGCAAGGGCUUUUGUGGAUUCAGCCGAAGAGACUUGGAAACACUGCAAGAUGGGAGAGAGGGGAAGGAUGAAGAUGAUCAGAACAAACUGGAAGGUGAAAUGGCAGAUGAAGGGAGUGAGACUGAUUCCUCUGGGCCUGAAGGACCUGGGACUGCCCCCAUGGGAAGGGCUUCUGAGAUCAGCCAGUCCAGCAGUGGCAAAGGGGUUUCAUGGCUGGGGAUUUAGCUCAGUGGCACCGUGCCUGCCUCUCAAGCGCAAGGUCGUGAGUUCAAUCCCCAAUACCAGAAAAACCCCCAAAAGCAAAGGAGCUUCAUGAUAAGUGGUGGCUGCCCAGAGUGUGUCCUGAGAAGAGAGUGCCCAGUUAAUUAGUAUUGUCUGCCAUUAGCGUGGGUGAGGAAUGGUGGUGCCUAUGGUAGGAAUCUUCUUUGUAGGGCAGCUGGGGACGGGAUUUGUCCAGGGUUCAUACCAUGAAUUGCAGGCAGAUCUCAACCCUCUUGUUGUCUCCUGAAACCCAG